AACGAACGCUGGCGGCAUGCCUAACACAUGCAAGUCGAACGAGACCUUCGGGUCUAGUGGCGCACGGGUGCGUAACGCGUGGGAACCUGCCCUUAGGUUCGGAAUAACUCCCCGAAAGGGGUGCUAAUACCGGAUAAUGUCUUCGGACCAAAGAUUUAUCGCCUUUGGAUGGGCCCGCGUUGGAUUAGCUAGUUGGUAGGGUAAAAGCCUACCAAGGCGACGAUCCAUAGCUGGUCUGAAAGGAUGAUCAGCCACACUGGGACUGAGACACGGCCCAGACUCCUACGGGAGGCAGCAGUGGGGAAUAUUGGAAAACGGGCGAAAGCCUGAUCCAGCAAUGCCGCGUGAGUGAUGAAGGCCUUAGGGUUGUAAAGCUCUUUUAACCGGGAUGAUAAUGACAGUACCGGGAGAAUAAGCUCCGGCUAACUCCGUG
rnacentral:rRNA from 1 species